rnacentral:rRNA from 1 species
UACAGAGACUGCAAGCGUUAUUCGGAUUCACUGGGCGUAAAGGGUGCGCAGGCGGCCGAGUGUGUGAGGCGUGAAAGCCCGGGGCUUAACCCCGGAAUUGCACCUCAAACUACACGGCUAGAGCAUUGGAGAGGGUAGCAAAAUUCAUGGUGUAGCAGUGAAAUGCGUAGAUAUCAUGAGGAAUACCAGAGGCGAAGGCGGCUACCUGGACAAUUGCUGACGCUCAGGCACGAAAGCAUGGGGAUCAAACAGG